CAGGAGGACCGGGCGGUCGCUGCCGGUGGCUCAGGAAACCGGGUCCACCGGGGGAGGAAAGUCCGAACUCCGCAGGGCAGUGUGCCGGAUAACGUCCGGGACGCGGACUUCAAGGUCCGUGGACGGCCAGUGCCACAGAAAAGAUACCGCCUCGGCUACCCCUCGCUACGGCGCGGGCGGCCCCGGAGCCAAACGCUGAUUCAGUUCAGCUUGCGGCCCCGGCGCCGAGGUAAGGGUGAAAUGGUGCGGUAAGAGCGCACCGCUCCGGCUGUGAAGCCGGAGGCAGGGUAAACCCCACACGGAGCAAGACCAAAUAGGGAGGGAAGCGCCCCGGAAACGGGUAAAGCCAAGAGCCAGGCGGCGCUGCGCAUUGGUCCGAUGCGUCCAGGCGGCUCGAGUAAUUGCCGAAACCUCCGGGUAGGUCGCUGAUGAGCGUCCGCGGUAACGCGGCGCCUAGAGGAAUGACCGCACAAGACAGAAUUCGGCUUACAGGUCCUUUUGCCGA
rnacentral:RNase_P_RNA from 1 species